rnacentral:rRNA from 1 species
UACGUAGGGUGCGAGCGUUGUCCGGAAUUAUUGGGCGUAAAGGGCUCGUAGGCGGUCUGUUGCGUCGGUAGUGAAAACUCAGGGCUUAACCCUGAGCCUGCUUCCGAUACGGGCAGACUAGAGGUAUGCAGGGGAGAACGGAAUUCCUGGUGUAGCGGUGAAAUGCGCAGAUAUCAGGAGGAACACCGGUGGCGAAGGCGGUUCUCUGGGCAUUACCUGACGCUGAGGAGCGAAAAGUGUGGGGAGCGAACAGG